GCGAUACCCAAGAAUUCACCUGGCUCAUUUUUAAACGGGAUCCUUAAUUUGGCUGCCUAUAAUAAUUUAAUUGUAGCUGUUGAUGUGGAAGGAGAUAAUUGGUCACUUGUUCAUAUUCCUAAGCCACCGUACUAUGCUGAUGAUAUCAAUGGCAUAUUUCCAUCACAGGGACAGUUGUAUUUUGCAAAUAGUCCUGCUGAUUCUGAUGGUUCUGAAUUGUCAAUCUGGGUUCUUGACGACUUCGUUACAGGAAAAUGGAGUUUGAAACACAAUCUGUGUUUUAUAUGUCAACUUGGAUCUGAGUGUAGAGCUGAAUUGCCUGGCUGUGGUGACAAGACUCUUUUUUAUCCACACGUUCCCUUGUUCUCAGAGUCAUUGGCAGAUAUGGACUAAAUGUCUAUGCAACGCUGUUUUUUUUGUGAACAUGGUUCUGAAUGUGAGGUUUGAUGGCUUGGCUGCUGCACACUGCAGAUUCAUAACUGUCCAUGUUUCUGACACUAUUGAAGUUAAGUCUGGAAUCUGGGUAGCGGUAACUGGCGUAGACAUUUAUCAAGUUGUGAGAGUAUAUGUUGGUGCUUGAGCACCCUCAUGUCCUGAAUAUUGCAGUUAACUUAGUGACUGAACUUGUGUUUGUAUAAUUGUAUAUAUUCAUGGCUGUUACAGCCAAUAAAGUUGUAACACCCUGCUACUUUAAUCAUGGAUAUAAUGAUCAUUUUGUUGAACCA